GACGAACGCUGGCGGCGUGCCUAAUACAUGCAAGUUGAGCGAUGAAGAUUGGUGCUUGCACCAAUUUGCAGAGCAGCGCACGGGUGAGUAACGCGUGGGGAAUCUGCCUUUGAGCGGGGGACAACAUUUGGAAACGAAUGCUAAUACCGCAUAACAACUUUAAACAUAAGUUUUAAGUUUGAAAGAUGCAAUUGCAUCACUCAAAGAUGAUCCCGCGUUGUAUUAGCUAGUUGGUGAGGUAAAGGCUCACCAAGGCGAUGAUACAUAGCCGACCUGAGAGGGUGAUCGGCCACAUUGGGACUGAGACACGGCCCAAACUCCUACGGGAGGCAGCAGUAGGGAAUCUUCGGCAAUGGACGAAAGUCUGACCGAGCAACGCCGCGUGAGUGAAGAAGGUUUUCGGAUCGUAAAACUCUGUUGGUAGAGAAGAACGUUGGUGAGAGUGGAAAGCUCAUCAAGUGACGGUAACUACCCAGAAAGGGACGGCUAACUACGUG
rnacentral:rRNA from 1 species